AUGAAUGAAAAGUUGUGUUCUGUUAUCACAAAUGAAGAGAUUGAAAGAGCUCUUUUCAUGAUGCAUCCAAACAAGUCCCCAGGUCCAGAUGGUUUUACAGCAGGUUUUUACAUUCGCCAUUGGCAUCUCUUGAAACAUGUUGUUUGCAAUGCUAUGCGUACUUUUCUUGAAGGCGGUGAUAUGCCGGAGGUGGUUAAUUCUACUGUUUUGAUCCUUAUUUCAAAAAUAAAAAAUCUGCAAGACCUUACACAGUACAGGCCAAUCUCAUUGUGUAAUGUGCUAUAUAAACUAGCUUCAAAAGUUCUGGCCUUGAGGCUGAGACCAGUACUGCAUCAUAUCAUCGCGGAAGAACAAACAGCGUUUGUCCCAGGACGAUUGAUUUCUGAUAAUGUUCUUAUAGCUUACGAGUGUAUUCACUAUCUCAAGAGGAAAAGGGCAAAUCUGGUGAUGUGA
rnacentral:rRNA from 1 species